CUUAGCCUCUUAUCUCAGCUUCUGAAACAUUCUUCAACCUCUACCAGUCUUCUGAAGGUGGCAGCUGUUAAUACAGAACUUGAUGAGGAAGAUGCCAGCAUCUCACCUGGAAUUCACAAAACCCUAGCCAGCCCUAACUCACAAGGGCCUGCACACCCUUUAAUCCAGCAAAAUUAACUCAAGAGCAUGUGGGACCUGAAAUCCAGUCUCUGCAUAUUAUUGCAAGUGCUUCAAGCAAAGAAAAGAACCUGAUUUCACAUUUGAGAUGCAUUUUAAACCAAAGGUCUGUUCUGGUACCUCCACAAGGAAGCAUCAAUCGGACCACAGAAAAUUUACAUCCAGGGAUUUGUCUUCUGGAAUGGAUCUCACUGACCUACAAGAAUUGAAUUUGCC
rnacentral:lncRNA from 1 species